AAAGUUAUAGAAGGUUUGUGGAGGAGGAACCCUGAAAAAAGAAUUUUAUGUAUGGUCAUGUUGGCUAAGAUUAAAGUAAAUCUAAUUAAGUAACUGAGUUUUAAUGUCAAAAAUAGGCUGGUGCAAAAUUAGAGUUUUGUUUUCUCUCUCUUAAAAGGAGUUUUCUU